GGUUUGGCAGGGGAAAAAAAAAUCUGCGGGCUCCUCACAGGCACACUCUUGUGGCCGGUUGAAGUUUAUCGCCUUGGCUGAGAUUCGUCAAUGCUGUGCACAUUUGCGACCAUAGGAAAUGUCCAGAAAUCUCAGUUCUGGCAGCCAGAACCUGAAAUGGGCCUCACCGGACUAAGAGUCAGCGCGUUGGCACACUGAAGGCUGUGUUCUUCCUGGCAGCUCUAGCUGAGCCACCAGCUUCUGCACGCUGCCCACACGCCUUGGCCGGCAGCCACUUCCUCAUCUUCAAAACCAUCGACAUUGCAUCAUUCCGUCUGUCUUGGGUACUCAGGGCACACUUUCUCCAUUGUUUGCUUUUCUCUUCCCUUUUAACUUAAAUUAUUUCAAACAUGUAGUGUGUGUGUGUGUGUGUGUGUGUGUGUGUGUGUGUGUGUGUGUGUGCACGCUUGCAUGUGACAGCAUGUGUGUGGAAGUCCCUCGGAAGGCAGUUUUCCUUGAACCUUGUGUGUUCUGAGGAUUGGUCAGCAUGGUAGUAAGCACCCUUUACUGUUGAGCGUUCUUUCUAGCCCCUUCUCUUCCAUUUCCAUGGACCCCACCCCCUGGGUUAUCUUGGUCCUUCCUGGAUAAUUCACACAUCUAUUUUAAGGCCAGCUGACUAGCAAUGUACUCCCAUCUGCUACCUUGAUUCUCUUCCUGCCAUUUAAGGUCACAUAGUCCCGGGUUCCUGGUUAGGAUAUAGAUGUCGUUGGAGGAGCCAUUUAUGCUACCCACCAUGGGUUUCUUUUCCUUUCUCCUUUCUUUCCAAAAGACAUUCAUGUGUAUUUUAUUGUCAUUGGCUUUAUUGGUUUCUUUAAAAAAAAAGAUUUAUUUUAUUUUAUUAUUUAUUUUGUCUGCAUGUAUGUCUAUGUGUGAGUGUCAGAUCCCCUGGAACUGAAGUUACAGACAGUUGUGAGCUGUUAUGUGGUUGCUGGGAAUUGAACUCAGGAGCUCAGGAAGAGCAGCCAGUGCUCUUAACCCCUGAGCCAUCUCUCCAGUUCCCUCCCCCAACCACAUGCCCCCCCCCUUUUUUUUAAUUUUUGAGAGACAGUAGCUCACAUGCCCCCAUCCCCCCGGUGCCCUGGAAGUAGCUAUGUGGCUGAAGAUGGCUUUGAACUUCCGAUCUACCUGCUUCCCUCUCCCAAGUGCUGGGGUUACAGCCAUAUACCAACAGUCAGUUUUUGUAGUGCUGGGAAUAAGAGUUGGAGCUCGGUGCAUGCUAGGCAAAGGCUCCCUGGACUGAGCCACAACCCCAGCCUUCCUUAGUCAUCUUAAUAACAGAUGAUUGUGGAGGACGACGAGAUGACAUUUGCAGGACCACUUUUCCGAUGAAGAUGGCAGAGCAAAUGGACUUGUUGAGUACUUCCUCAGGCUGUUCUUCUCAGACACCGUGCGUUCCAAACACGCUUUUGUCAGUCAGUCAAGACUGGGAACUCAGGUGUGGUGGAUCACACCAAUUUUUCUAGCACUUGGGAGAUUGGGGGGUUCAAGGCCAGUCUGCUGGGCUACAAGACAGCUUGUUUGUUCUCUUUCUCUGUCUCUCUCUGUCUCUCUCCCUGACUCUCUGUCUCUCUCUGUCUCUCUCUGUCUCGCUCGCUCUCUCCUUUCUUUAGGAAUAGAGUCCCACACAAGUAUCUCAAGAACAGAUGAUCCUUCUGUUUUUAAAAGAGGUGUUAUGGAUUGAGUUUAGUGUGAGGCAUCCCCCAUAGGCUCAUGAUUCUGGAGGCUUGGUCUCCAGCCAUCCGUGAUAUCUGGGCAGGUUCUGGAACAUUCGGGACACGUGGUGUGUGUGGCUAGCAGAAGUGAGUGGGCUGUGGGCAGGCUUUGAGGAUUCCGUCUGCUUCUGGUGCUGUCCUGAGCACUCUACUUUCUGAUCCAUAAGAAACAAAGGGUUACUGACACGGGCCGCUACUGUCAUGGGUAGAACCUCUCCGUGUGGAGCCUUCUUUGUCACUGAAGAUGGACCUGUGAGACCUUAAGCCAAAGUAAAUCCUUCCUCCUUUAAGCUGCUCCUGUUGGAAUUUUGUCAGUGAGAAGAAAACGAAUACAAGAGGUCUGUAAGAUCAAGAUCCUCUCUUGACCUCCCAGGCCUGCAAUCUUGCAGAUCUCUAAGAGCAUGAUUUAUCAUAAAUAUGGGGAACCAUCGCCUUAGUCAGAUAACUCCCAAAAACUCCCUGUGCCUCCUUGGCAUUUGGGCUUCAUUCCUUCUAAUGUCCUCAGGCAGCCUCUCACCCAUCUACUAAAUCUAUUUUUUCUUAUUUUACUUUAUUUCAUGUUUGAGUGUUUUCCUUCCAUGUAUGUCUGUGUACCAGGCAUGCGCCUGGUGUCCCCAGAGAAGAAGGCAUUGGAACUACAGUUAUAUAGAUAGUUGAGAGCUGUCACAUGGGUGUGGGAAACAGAAUCUGGGUCCUCUGCAAGAUCAGCAAAUGCUCUUAACAGCUCUCCAGUACCCAAGUCCUUUUUUUCCCCCCGAGACAAGAGUUUCUCUGUGUAGCCCUGCCUGACCUGGAACUCACUUUGUUACUAGAUUGACUUCGCCUGCCUCUGCCUCCUGAGUGCUGGAAUUAAAGAUGCUUCCAGGCUCUAAAUCUGUUUUUUUUUUUUUUUUUGAUGUAAAAAAAAAAUUGCAAUGCAAGCCGGACACAUUGUCAGGAGGCCGAGGCAAGCAGAUCUCUGUGAGUUGGAAGCCACCUUUAUAUACACAGUGAGUUACAGAUAACCAGGGCUACACCGUGGGUUCCUGUCUGAAAAAAAAAGUGAAAAAUUAGAAAAUACAAUAAAGUCUCCAUACUGGGAAGGGAAAUGUAAAAUUAUCUCUUAUUCAGGUGAUACGAUUAUAUAUAUAGAAAAAUAAUGGAAACCCCAGAAAAUGUUAGGACUGGCCACUGAAGUGCAGUUUCAUUUUCAAUAGCAUCAAAAGGAACUUUUAAGGUUGGAAAUGAAGUUCAGUGAAGUACUGAACUGUGUGAAUGUAACUUUUAUUCUCCUGGUGUGUGGGGUCCAGGAGUCGUCCCACAGACUGCACGGACACUGAUCUCAGUUAAACAGGGAUGGUCCAAGACUGAUCGACCAGGGCGACAGCUUAAAGCUGUGUCCUGGACAUUUCCCAGGGCCAGCUUGUAAAGGCUAAAACUGCAAAAAACGCAAUGAGCUCAUAAGCAGGUACUCGAGUAUUGCCUGGUGGUUGCCCCUGACAUAAGCCAUUUUAGACAGAACAAUCCAUAUUGACCUUUAAUUUGGUGAGUCCUACAUGAAGAUCAUGGUUGUGGAAUUUCUUAAGAUUAACAAACCUCAGAACAUACCAAACAUAAUGUAUGUGGUCAGCACGACCCUGCUCUGAGUCAAGUCAUUUUUCUGCGUCAAUGACUGUAGGAAUAUUACAGCAACAAUAUGAAGUGACUGACAGCAGGCACGGAACAAAAUGGCUACAGCUAUGCUAGGGGGACAGGCUUCAACAGAUGAAAGUGUCAUCUCUGAGGCUUACUGCCUCUGUCUGCUAACCUAGGCCUAGUCCUGGAAGCUUCUAGCCUAUGUACAACCUAACUUAGGGCCUAGAAUGUUCUCAGCCUCUGGGAUUUACUGGUGAAUAAGCUCACCCCUUCCUUGUUCUUUCUGAUCUCUGGCUGCCUGGUCAACUCAGCUGUCCUGGCUUAAACUCCUCUCCAAGCUGACUGAUUCAAUCUCUCUCUCUCUCUCUCUCUCUCUCUCUCUCUCUCUCUCUCUCUCUCUCUCCCCCAUCCUCCUCCCUCCUUCCCUCCCUCCCUCCCUCAGAUUCUCCUGAACUGCUCUGCUUGGCCUCCAACUAACCCUGGCAAUCUGUUCUGAUCUUCUGGGUCCUUCUCAUUCUCUGGCUUGUUCUGUCUUCACUGGUGUCUAGCUUGUUCUUGCUUCAACCUGUCUAUUAAACUCAUCAGCAAAACUGCCUCCUCUCUCAUUCUCUCUGCACUGCUCUCUUAAGUAGCUUCCCUUUCCUCUUUCUUCUCGUUGGAGUUGUGCAUGUCCUAUUCUGUAUACUCUUUCUCUGAUGUGUCACUUUGCCACUUAAUUAGGCAUUACUUCAAGCACAGGCACUUCCUUCUACAAGUGCUGGGAUUGAAGGUGUGUGCUAGGACUGAGCCACACCAAAACUAGAAACAGGUUUUUCCACCCAUAAGUAACACAAUCUUGGGGUUCAGUGUGAUCAAAUACCCUGCAAUAGAACUCUGAAAAGUGUCAUGAGGUCAUUGAAAGGAAUGGAAGGAAAAUCAAAUAAAUGCAUAGAUCUCUUUGGGUACUGGCAGCCUCCAGACCCAGGAUGUUUCUGUAAGUGGCUUGUCAGGUUGGGUGCCCUGCAAGAGAAGGUCACAGAGUUUCAAUAUAUUGUACAGGAAGAAUGUCGGUAUUGGGAAACUGUUAGCACUGUGUGGUCUAGCACGAUGUAACCAAGGAACUGUCCUGUUCCUGGUAAGGCAGUAGAGCAUGCACACAGAAGCCAGCAGUACAUGGUUGUGGAGGUUCUGCCCUGACCUGCAAAGCAGGAGUUGCCGCAUCAGCUGUUUUUGCUAUCACAGCACUUGGUGGAAUUUCCUUUCCCGAGUUGGGAGUUCCACUUUUGGCCUGCUAAGAGAGACCUGUGUGGAGAAAUGGAAACCUAUAACAUCGGCUGCUGGCAUGAGGUGAUUCACGUCAUCAGUCACGUCUGGGGGUCGGGCUUAUGGUUUUUGCCUUUAUAUGCCUUCUGCUUUGCAAUAAAGUUGAGCCUUGAUCAGAACUU